AAAAUAGUUGGGGACCUAAAUUGUAAUUAACCAAAGGUCUAAAGUAGAAAUUAAACCAUAUUAUUGUACAUGCUAGUGGAUGGUAAGAAUUAUGACUUGAUUAAAAUAAAAUUUUGUAAUUAAAUUAAAGUAAAUAAAUUUAAUAUUAUAUAUAUUAUAAAACAUAGUGGAGGAAGGGAUGAACAUAUCAUCUUCUUCCUCACUUACUCGAAAC
rnacentral:lncRNA from 1 species